rnacentral:rRNA from 1 species
UACGAAGGGGGCUAGCGUUGUUCGGAAUUACUGGGCGUAAAGGGCGCGUAGGCGGUACUUCAAGUCAGGCGUGAAAGCCCCGGGCUCAACCUGGGAAUUGCGUUGGAGACUGCAAGGCUGGAGUCUGGCAGAGGGGGGUAGAAUUCCACGUGUAGCAGUGAAAUGCGUAGAGAUGUGGAGGAACACCGAUGGCGAAGGCAGCCCCCUGGGUCAAGACUGACGCUCAUGCACGAAAGCGUGGGGAGCAAACAGG